UCAUAAACAACCAGGAUGUUGGCUCAGAAGCAGCCACCAUUUAAAGAGUGCGUAAUAGCUCACUGGUCGAGAGGCCCUGCGCCGAAGAUUCCCGGGGCUAAAGUAUGGAACCGAAGCUACGGAUGCGGUACUUGUACCGCGUGGUAGAGGAGCGUUCCCAUUGGGUUGAAGUCGUCCUGGAAGGGACGGUGGACUGGUGGGAAGUGAGAAUGUUGGCAUGAGUAGCGAAAAGAUAGGUGAGAAUCCUAUCCACCGAAAGCAUAAGGAUUCCUGAGCAACGAUCGUCGUCUCAGGGUAAGUCGGGACCUAAUCCGAGGCAUGGAGCGUAGGAGAUGGACAACUGGUUGAUAUUCCAGUACCGGCAGCAAUCGUUUGAACGAUGGAGUGACGCAGGAAGGCAGGUCCGCGCGAGAAUGGUAGAUCGCGUACAAGCGUGCAGGCUGGUGCACAGGCAAAUCCGUGUACUGAGGCUGAGGCGUGAUGUGGAGGGAACUUGUUCCCGAAGGGAUUGAGCCUACGCUGCCGAGAAAAGCUUCUAGUGAGAAAGCUGCCGCCCGUACCGUAAACCGACACAGGUAUGCGGGGAGAGAAUCCUAAGGUGCGCGGGAGAACCCUCGUUAAGGAACUCGGCAAAAUGUACCCGUAACUUCGGGAUAAGGGUAGCCACAGUGGUGAAGGGACUUGCUCCUGGAGCCUAGUGUGGUCGCAGAGAAGAGGCCCAAGCGACUGUUAACCAGAAACACAGGUGCCUGCGAAAGAGAAAUCUGAUGUAUAGGUGCUGACACCUGCCCAGUGCUGGAAGGUUAAAGAAGGAUGUCCGGGUUCGACCCAAAGCAUUUGACUGAAGCCCCAGUGAACGGCGGCCGUAACUAUAACGGUCCUAAGGUAGCGAAAUUCCUUGUCGGGUAAGUUCCGACCCGCACGAAAGGCGUAAUGAUUUGGGCACUGUCUCAACGAGGGACCCGGUGAAAUUGAAAUACCUGUGAAGAUGCAGGUUACCCGCGACUGGACAGAAAGACCCCAUGGAGCUUUACUGUAACCUAAUAUUGGGUUCUGAUAUUCGACGCACAGGAUAGGUGGGAGGCUUGGAGCAUGGUCCUCUGGGAUCAUGGGAGCCGCCGUUGGGAUACCACCCUUCGAAUAUCGGGAUUCUAACCGCAGGAGCAACGAUCCUCGGGACAGUGUUAGGCGGGCAGUUUGACUGGGGCGGUCGCCUCCUAAAGAGUAACGGAGGCGCCCAAAGGUUCCCUCAGCGCGGACGGAAACCGCGCGACGAGUGUAAAGGCAGAAGGGAGCUUGACUGCGAGCCAAACACGGCGAGCAGGUACGAAAGUAGGGCUUAGUGAUCCGGUGGCAUCCAAGUGGAAGGGCCAUCGCUCAACGGAUAAAAGCUACCCUGGGGAUAACAGGCUAAUCUCUCCCAAGAGUCCAUAUCGACGGGGAGGUUUGGCACCUCGAUGUCGGCUCAUCACAUCCUGGGGCUGAAGUCGGUCCCAAGGGCUGGGCUGUUCGCCCAUUAAAGUGGUACGUGAGCUGGGUUCAGAACGUCGUGAGACAGUUCGGUCCCUAUCCAUCGCGGGCG
rnacentral:rRNA from 1 species